UUCUCUCUGCCUUUCAAAUUCUCCCUCUUCUUCUCUCCCUCCCUCCCUCUUCUUUUCCCCCUCUCUCCCUCCCUCCCUCCUUUUCUGCCCCUCUCUUUCUCUCUGCCUUUCAAAUUCUCCCUCUUCUUCUCUCCCUCUCUCCGUCCCUCCUCUCUCUUUCUCUCUGCCUUUCUGUUUCUCCCUCUUCUUCUCUCCCUCCUUUUCCUCCUCUCUCUUUCUCCCAGCCUUUCUAUUUCGCCCUUCCUCUUCUUCUCUCCCUCUUUUUCUCCUUAUCUCUCUUUCCCUCCUUCUUUUUCUCUCCCUCUCCUUCCUCCUCUCUUUCUCCUUCUCUUCUUCUCUCCCUCUCUCCCCCUUUCUCCCCCUCUAUUUUUCUCUCUCUACAUCUCCCUCCCACCUCUCUUCUACUUUCUCUCUCCCUCCCUUCUUUCUCCAACCCUCCCUCUCUCUGUUUUUCACUCUUUCCCCCUCUUUUCUUCUCUCCUUGUUCUCCUUGCUCCCUCUUUCCUCCCUCUCUAAGGGCUCUUCCACACAGUUGGUGCUGGCUACAGGGGGGAUACUACUCUUUUGAUUCAACAGUUAUGCUACUCAUAGAAUAAUACGAGUUGGAAGAGGCCUCACGGUUCAUCCAGUCCAACCCCCUGCCAAGAUGCAGGAAAAUCAUUCAAAGCACCCCCAACAGAUGGCCAUCCAGCCACUGUUUAAAAGCCUCCAAAGAAGGAGCCUCCACGGGGCAGAGAGUUCCACUGCUGAACAGCUCUCACAGUGAGGAAGUUCUUCCUGAUGUUCAGGUGGAAUCUCCUUUCCUGUAGUUUGAAGCCAUUGUUCCGCAUCCUAGUCUGCAGGGCAGCAGAAAACAAGCUUGCUCUUUCCUCCCUAUGACUUCCCCUCACAUCUUGAUACAUGACCUUCAUCAUGUCUCCUCUCAGCCUUCUCUUCUGCAUGCUAAACAUGCCCAGCUCUUUAAGCCGCUCCUCAUAGGGCUUGUUCUCCAGACCCUUGAUCAUUUUAGUCAGCCUCCACUGGAUACAUUCCAGCUUGUCAACAUCUCCCUUCAAUUGUGGUGCCCAGAAUUGGACACAGUGUGAUUCCAGGUGUGGCCUGACCAAGGCAGAAUAGAGGGGUAGCAUGACUUCCCUGGAUCUAGACACUAGACUCCUAUUUAUGCAGGCCAAAAUCCCAUUGGCUUUUUUUGCCGCCGCAUGACAUUGUUGGCUUACAUUUAAUUUGUUGUCCAUGAGGACUCCAAGAUCUUUUUCACAUGUCCUGCUGUCGAGCCAGGCAUCGUCCCCCAUUCUGUAUCUUUGCAUUUCAUUUUUUUUUUUGCCUAAGUGUCGUAUUUUGCAUUUGUCCCUGUUGAACUUCACUUUGUUAAAUUUGACCCAUCUCUCUAGUCUGUUAAGAUAAUUUUGAAUUCUGCUCCUUCCUUCUGGAGUAUUGGCUAUCCUUUCCAAUUUGGUGUCGUUUGCAAACUUGAUGAUUGUGCCUUCUAACCCUUCGUCUAAGUUGUUAAUAAAGAUGUUGAACAGAACUGGGCCCAGGACGGAACUCUGCAGCACUCCACUGAUCACUUCUUUCCAGGCUGAAGAGGAAGCAUUGAGGACCAAAAACAUUGGUCCAGGGAGCGGGAAAAGGUUCAGGACUGCAUUUUGUCCACACCAUCGUAGCUCAUGGAAGAGCGAUUUAACCAAAGAAAGUGUUCCUUGGCGGGAAAACAAGAUCCUAUAUAGGUGUUUGCCCGCAAAGGAAUCCUUGCGGAGUCAAUUCGUCGGCUUGAGGAGUGAAAUCGUGUGUAGACUUCGUACUCCAGUUCCCAGAUCCUGGAUCAAGUUUCCAGCCCAGCCUUGUACCAUGGACUUCUAUGGACUCAGUUUUUGAUUCAUGUUUGCCUUGUUUCAAGUUUGAUCUUGCCAAGUUUCAAGUCUUGCCUUGCCUUGCGUUUUAAACCACGGACCUUGCUUCUCUGAUUCAAGCCUUGUUUUCCAGUUUCCUUCGGAUUUACCUUAAGCCUCAAAGACUAUGGACAGUUCCCCACACUAUUGCUUGUCAAAUAGUGUGUGUUUCGGUGAAGUGGAUUAUAACUUUGGACUUUAAUAUCUCAUAUUGGACAUUGUUUUCCUGGACUAUAUUUGACCUUUCCUGAAAGGUCUACUUCUGAACUAUAUUCUUCACUUGUUUUUAUUGACUUUAUAUAUUCCUUUAAUAAAGAUAUUAGAUAGAUUCUGGCCUCUGCGCAUGGUUAUUGGUGCUCUGCAGCCUGGGUCCUGACAGUAACCACUGAUCUAGAUCAUAAAUCCUACCUAAUUUAAAAGAGGGAAGCCCUGGUGGUGCAGCGGGUUAAACUGCUGAGCUGCUGAACUACCAUCUGCCACCUAGCAGUUUGAAAACAUGCAAAUGUGAGUAGAUCAAUAGGUACCACUCCGGCGGGAAGGUAACGGCGCUCCAUGAAACAUGCCGGCCACAUGACCUUGGAGGUGUUUAUGGACAAUGCCGGCUCUUUGGCUUAGAAAUGAAGAUGAGCACCAACUCCCAGAGUCGGACAUGACUAGACUUAAUGCCAGGCGAAAACCUUUACCUUAAUUUAAAAGAUUUCUUAGUAUUUUCCCACAGCAUGCUGAUUUUCAAGAAUUUCAGACUGGCCGAAAUGGAUGCUAGGUUUGGGUACGUAUUAUGAAUUAAGCUGUUGUAGUCAGCUCCAUAUAUGAGAGUGUAUUUAUUGGCAUGUUUUUCAUAUAGGAUUAUCUGAUGCCCCAUGUGAAAUGGUACUGGCGCAAGGAAAGGUUUAUUAUCUCUUCCUCAGAACAUGUGAAAUAUUUAAGUGAGGGAAGAGGAAGCUAAAAGAAGAAACACAGUGGAAGAUGUUUUCCUCACAACAUGCAUACAUUAGGUCCUUUAGUUAAAUUUGUUGUUGUUGUUAUGUGCUUUGAAGUUGGUUGUUACUUAUGGCAACCCCAAGGUGAAUUUACUAUGAGGUUUUCUUCACAAAAUGUGUUCAGUGGCGUGUUUGCCAUUGCUUCAUUGUGAGGCUUACAAUUAUAACACUAUGAUUCCACAUUUCUUUGCUAUGGCAACAUCCUACAGUAGUGGUUUUCAACCUUCCUAAUCCUCCUUAAUACAGUUCCUCAUGUUGUGGUGACCCCCAACCAUAAAAUUAUUUUUGUUGCUAGUACAUAACAGUCAUUUUGCUAUUGUUAUGAAUCAUAAUGUAAAUAUGUGAUAUGCAGGAUGUAUUUUCUUUCACUGGACCAAAUUUGGCACAAAUAACCGAUAUGCCUAAAUUUGAAUACUGGUGGAAUUAGGAGGGGAUCAUUUCUAUCCCACCCUUCUCAUCCGAAGGGACUCAGGGCGGCUCACAAUCUGGCAAAAUUCAAUGCCAAUAUACAGUACAAAAAGAUAAAACAUAAACAAUUAAAACAAUUAGGUAAUUUAACAAAAUACAAGAAAUAGAUUUAAAACCAUACAUUGUAAAAUACUUGAGCCAUUCGUCCACAACACCUUAUACAUAAACCUUAAUCCAGACCAAGUCAAGCCAACAGAAUUCACUCACAAACGCCUGCUCACAAAGCCAAGUCUUUACUUUUUUCCUAAAACUCAGAAGGGAUGGAGCCUGCCAGAUAUCACUGAGGAGGGAGUUCCACAGCCGAGGAGCCACCACUGAGAAUGCCCUGUCUCUUGUCCCCACUAGUCGCACUUGUGAGGCAGGUGGGACCGAGAGCUCUUGCUAUGUGGCAAGUCCUGUUCAGACCUCCUUUCCCCAUGAUUCACAAUCACAUGGAAGGGAAAAAUGGGGCAAUACUUGCUGCCC